GGUAUUCAGGCCGGCAGUUGGAGGCGGCCGCGGCGAACGGGGCGGACGAGGUGGCGGAGUAGGGGCCCCGGCGAGUGGGGAGCUGGAGGCACAGCGCAUCCGGUGCCGCACGGGGACUACGAGCCGGCGGCGCACCUGUCACCGACCAGCGCAGACCCCAAGGCCGUGCCGACGAGGAAGGAGAGAAUCAGGAUGAGGAGGAUGUCGCUGCGGUAGCGAAGGUAGCCAGCAGCCUGAUGAAGCAUCUACGGCCCAGCUUCUCCGGCGCGCCAUCCGGAGAUGGGACGGACGAUCGAGGCGAAGGACGAUGGAGAGGUGGUCGGAGGCGGCGAGCUCCAAGGCAGGCGGGUUGAUGCGGUUCCAGAUGGACGACGGCUUCGCGGGCGGCUGGGCCGAAUCAGCUGCCGUGGCCCAAGCGCGGACGAACGUGCGUUCCUCUCGUCCUCGUCCUCCCUACGGCAGGCUAGGCAGGCGGCAAGAGCUUCUCCGUUCUCCUUGGCGACCUCAAGGUCCCGCUCUUCGGGGUGCUGCUCCAGCAGAGCAGCACCACGUGCCUCGAAUGGCAGGGGCGGCCGCCGUGGUUUGAGGACGUGCUGCGGGCGUCGACGGCUACCGCGCCCCGGAGGUGGUGGACGCGCGGCGACACUCUCUGGGCGUGCUCUUGCUGGAUCUGCUCAACGGCAAGUCCUCGACGCACGCGUCGCUGCAGCAUGGCGACGGCGGCACGCUGGACCUGCCGCGGUUGGUGUAGUCGGUGGUGCGCGAGGAGUGGACGACCGAGGUGAUUGGCGUGGAGCUGGUGCGGCUAGGCGCCGCGCCGAGGAGAAGAUGGACUCGCUACCGCUGGCACCGGCGAAGCUACGACAUAGCACGCCGCUGGCCUGGCCAGCACCGGCGCUCCGCACACAUCCCUGCCUGACGGCCCUCCAUCACAUAGAUACACAAACACAACAGCGAGCUUCAGUUAUCUGAAUUUUCGGUGCAGUGUCGUGAUUUGGAUGGACGCCCGAACACAACAGCGAGGCCAGCUUCAGUUCUCUGAAUCUUCAGUGCAGUGUCGUGAUUUGGAUGGAAUUGGAGACCGUGUCCUUCUCCAACAUAAGUCAAUUUCCAAUGUAAUCGAAUUCGAGUCUCUGUUCUUCUCCAAGGCAAAAGCAUGUAGUACCCGACCCGGAUUGGACUUGGCUGUCAUAAGGAGGGAUCCUCGACCGGAACGUCCAUCAGGCCACGUCCCUCGACCAGAAUCUCCAUCAAAUCCCAUCACAUUGCAACUUUCAGAGGAACAUCCAAUGUCGCUGGCGGAGGAAAAUCAUCCGUCCAGCCGUACUAUGCCGAGUUCGCCGGCGGAAGAAGAACACCCAUCGAGCCCUCCAUCGCCUGAGGCGGCUACACAAAGUGAUGGAAGGUAGAUUGAGCUGAUAAAUUUCUGCACCCACCUUGAGGUCCAUAACGUUCUCCUAAUUAUAUGCAGCCCAAUUCGUAUAGAUGUAUUUGUUUGAGGGAGAGGACUAUCUGUGAUCAGAAGCAACAGUAUGUGAUCAUCAUGUGUGCGAGAGAUGGCAGGAGUAUGUGAUAUGUAUUUCUGUGUACACUACUAAUAUGUAUUGACUGUUCAUGUUGGUACAGUAGGUUCAUGAUUGCUUAUGGAAACAAUAAAAUUACUUGAGGAGGAUUUUAUGAGUAUGUACUUUGAGACUUGAGAGGCUGUUAUUGACAUGGAUUCUCCGUCUACUAGAGAGGCUGAUGUCAAAUCAACAUUGGAACAAGGGCAAUAGAAGUGGAAUGAGGAGAAGGUUGUUAGCUCGUCGUGUGGUCGAUUUGGUUUCUGGAAAUUCUUUCGCAUACUAUGUUUGAGAGCUUUUGUUCUUGAGUUCUUCUGGUGGAGGGAAUCAGAAGUGAUUCUUCUGCAAUGUGAGGAGAUCUCCAAAUCAAGCCAGCCUCCAAGAGAAGACAACAAGUAGUACAUCUCUACCCAGACGAGCUGAAUCUGAACGACUCAGAUUGUCAUGUUACCGUGUACCAGUCCGGCAGAUGUGCAAGUGCAACUACAUUGGUUGAGUGUAAGGCAGACUGAUUCAUCUGCGUGAAGCCAGUAUGACAAGGCUAAGUGUACACAAGGUAAAAAAACACAAUAAAUAUGGCCCCUUGAUAUUUCUGUUUAUGGGUUGUUUUUAGGGGAGCUCAUAGUUUAGCAGUUCUCUUCUGUGCUAAUCUGAAUUGUAGGUGGCCCAUUGUUUAAUUGCUCAUGCACAUUAUUAAUUGUGGUUUGCAUCGUCAAUCUGCACUUUGGUAGGAGCACUUAGGAGUUCCUGACUAUUCUCUGGGCAACCUCCUAUAUUUUAUAGUAGUUCAACUUAGCCUUUAUUUGUGGCAAACCAUGAUUCUGUACUACACCUUGGAAUCUUUUUUAGCUGAUUUAUUAUGCAAAGUACAGUAGUAACUUUGUUUGGAUCUGAACUUAUAUCACUCUAAGAACUUCUACAUAGAAUGAUUUAUCAUCACUAGAAUAUUUAUACCCCGUUUUAAUGCACGGGCAUGUUUUCUUGCAAAAUUUAUUUUAAAUGUUUUUUGCUGGUUGAUUAUGUUUGGAGUUCCUUUCUUUGUUAUUAUCUUCAUUGCAUUGGCAGUUUCUUUUAUCCGGUACCAUUUUUGUGGUUAUAUAUGCUUUACUUAUUCACUUAGAAUAUCAAUGUCUUAUCGGUGAAUCGGUUCACUUGCACAAGGAUCUUGCCAAAACAUCAAGUUUCCCGAACAUAAAAAUUAUGUCAUUUCGGUGGAACAAAGAAUUAAUCUCUAGCACGGUGAAACAAAUAAUUUAUCUCUAGCACUAAAAUUAUGUUUCUUACUAACAAGAAUGUACCACUGCAGUAUUUUUAUUAUGUUACGACUAAUCGUUGGGUUGCUCCAUUAGCAAGAAGUCAAUUUGUCAGUGGAAACAUAGCUGCAAGGAUGCGAUAUUUCAACUUUGAGGUUACUUAAGCUUUUGGAUUUCAGAUUUAAUUGCCAUCAUGAAACUGGUAUGCAAUGGAGCUGCACUUGCACGCACAUGCUGAUUUCUAAAUAUCGCACAGUACUAUAGUUGUGA